CCUACGGGGGGCAGCAGUGAGGAAUAUUGGUCAAUGGACGAGAGUCUGAACCAGCCAAGUAGCGUGAAGGAUGACUGCCCUAUGGGUUGUAAACUUCUUUUAUAUGGGAAUAAAAUGUUCCACGUGUGGGAUUUUGUAUGUACCAUGUGAAUAAGGAUCGGCUAACUCCGUGCCAGCAGCCGCGGUAAUACGGAGGAUCCGAGCGUUAUCCGGAUUUAUUGGGUUUAAGGGGAGCGUAGGUGGAUUGUUAAGUCAGUUGUGAAAGUUUGCGGCUCAACCGUAAAAUUGCAGUUGAAACUGGCAGUCUUGAGUACAGUAGAGGUGGGCGGAAUUCGUGGUGUAGCGGUGAAAGGCUUAGAUAUCACGAAGAACUCCGAUUGCGAAGGCAGCUCACUGGACUGCAACUGACACUGAGGCUCGAAAGUGUGGGUAUCAAACAGGAUUAGAUACCCGUGUAGUC
rnacentral:rRNA from 1 species